rnacentral:rRNA from 1 species
UACGUAGGUGGCAAGCGUUGUCCGGAUUUACUGGGCGUAAAGAGCGCGCAGGCGGUCGUUCAAGUCGCGUGUGAAAGCCCCCGGCUCAACUGGGGAGGGUCACGCGAUACUGAUCGACUCGAAGGCAGGAGAGGGAAGUGGAAUUCCCGGUGUAGUGGUGAAAUGCGUAGAUAUCGAGAGGAACACCUGCGGCGAAGGCGGGUUGCUGGGCUGACACUGACGCUGAAGCGCGAAAGCUAGGGGAGCGAACGGG